ensembl:lncRNA
CGCUCCUCGACCAGUAAGCGGCUUUCCUGAGGUCCGAUUGCGUAGAAGGGAUCAGUCCGUCUAUAAAAUUGGACAAGCAAGAUGAAGACAGUUGCCCAGGUUCAUGUGGUUGACAAGUGGUAAAACCGAGAUCAUCACCCAGGUUUCCUGUGGCGGAUACAGAAUUCUUUCAGCUUGAACUCUUUUGCUUUCCUAAUUGGAACUUUCCAGAAAGUCUGAACACAUUGCCCUACUUGAACUGAUAGAAUAGCAGCUGCCUGAGGACUCUGCUGGACUGCUGGGGCCUUCUGUCCUCCCUCCGUGUCCAUGAGAGUGAUGCUGUGAUAAGUGCCAAUUCAAGGUUGAGGGGCUGGCUGCCCUCCAGAAUCCCAUUGUUUAUGCCCUUCCUUGUAUUUAACGUUCUGUUUCCUUAAUUACUGAUGCUGAAUCUGAUCAAGAACCCAGGUGUGCCACCUCCUGCAGAUCCAUGUUGUCUUGAAGGUUCAGGAAUCCACAGUCUAGUUGGAAAACAGUCGUAAAGGGAGAAGGAAGGAAAUACUAGUUGCCUUGACUCAAAAAUAUGGCGAGAGAACUUUGUAACAUAGAAAGGUUAAAAGAUUGCAGCCACUUCUUUGAUAGUUCUAUUGUGGUUUGUUUUACACAAUGCUGUUUGCUGUAUGAAGACAAUCCCUAUCUAUUAGAAGUGAUAAGCAGAACAAGGCC